CUCUUAUCCAGAGUGGUGGAGGGAUCUGGCCCUGUGAAGCCCAGCAACCUACGUAUAGUAAGGUGCUAAUUCCAGCAAAAUGGGAAGUCAUUUUGGAAGAUAAGGU
rnacentral:ncRNA from 2 species